rnacentral:lncRNA from 10 species
AUGGAAUCGCUUUAGGGAAAAGAAACAAAGCUGUAUUGUUGGAGGAUCCUGAGUCUCCCGAGUCUGCCAGGAGGAGAAAUCUUGCUGUUUUAGAGGGAAAAUGAGGAGGAGGUGGUGACAAAGUCCAGCUUUUAUGAAGCCAUAAAUACAAAGUUAAACAACAUGAAGCAAGUUGCCUGGAUCCACAACACAGUUCAUUGUCCCGAAGAGCUAUGUCAUCCUUGGAUUUGAU